rnacentral:rRNA from 1 species
CAGCAGCCGCGCGGUAAUACAGAGGGUGCAAGCGUUAAUCGGAAUUACUGGGCGUAAAGCGCGCGUAGGUGGUUUGUUAAGUUGGAUGUGAAAUCCCCGGGCUCAACCUGGGAACUGCAUCCAAAACUGGCAAGCUAGAGUAUGGUAGAGGGUGGUGGAAUUUCCUGUGUAGCGGUGAAAUGCGUAGAUAUAGGAAGGAACACCAGUGGCGAAGGCGACCACCUGGACUGAUACUGACACUGAGGUGCGAAAGCGUGGGGAGCAAACAGGAUUAGAUACCCCUGUAGUCCCUGUCUCUUAUACA